ACGGUGCACAGUGGAGGUUGGAUUCCAUGCCAAAAGAAAGGAAUCGCUAGCAAGAUGUGAAAUGAAAAUUGAUUAGUGAAGUGCAUUUAACAAAUGCGAUUUCUAUUGAAUAAUCGUGGCAGUGAGUGCGAUUAUAAAUUGAACCGAUUGGAAGCUUGCAGUUAGCCCACUUCAAUAACUGUGAAAAAGUGUCGGUUACAAUGAGCUGAAAUGUGGCCGAAAAGAUCCCCAAAAGCCGCAUUGAGCUGAAGAAAAUUCUAUCCUUCAAAAUGGCUCCCGUCGCCAUCGCUGUCUGCAGUGCAGACGUAGAUGCAGUUGAGCAACGUGAAGUUAAUUUAAUUAUUACCAACAAAAACCAUUUGAAAUAGAACAGGGUUGCUUGGAUUCUGGUUUUCGCUUUCGACGAAAAUCGAAACAUUCCUUCACUAUGUUGGUUGCAGUUUCGAUUGCCGAUUGCCCGUUGAAGUAGCCUACUUGGAUUCGGUAGGUAAAAAUGAAACCGGUCAAGUAAUGAAGUAGCGUGAUGUUUCCAAUUGAGCCAAUCCGGAAUUUUGAACUAGUUUUGGUUGGUGACAAACAAAUCCCACACCAUCAUUCGAGUGUUGAAGGGAAUUUACCAACCGCUUUGUUGGCUGAAAGGAAGGCGAUUGAUCGAGAGAAUGACAACAUUUUCAUAACCUAUCAGUUACAGAGCAAACUGCGAUUCUUGGGUGUAAACGACUAUCGCUGCAUUCGAACGCAAAUGGUGCUUACCAGCUAUAGAAAGUAAGUACCGUGGAUGACAAAGAUGGUGAAUUUGUCCUCGUUGCGCUGAUGGAAACAGGCAGUCUCAUCACACAUCACAAACUCUACUCCGUCACCAACAAGGUAUCGUGCUUCAGGGGCAUUUUUAAAUCGAUUGAGGUUAUACUAUAUUUUAAGGAUAGGAUACUUUUAUAAUUCAAUAUUUUCGGUUCAAUAUUCGUGUCAGAACUUAUUUCUGUUGUUUAGUUGUGAAACAGUUUAAACGUGGCACACAAUUCUAAAAUCUACCAUUAAUCGAGAAAAAAAACUAAUGUACAAUAUUAUUUUUGUGUUGUAUCUAAGCAUAGAAUUCAGAUAUUCUAAAUCAAAUCAAGCUUUUAAAAAUAACCAAGACAGUCGUCGUAUUUUGGGUCUCUUGAAAAAUCGUGACCGUCAAAUGUUUCCUUAUUGGAUAGUACAACAAGUUUCUGUAAUGGUGACCUUCUCCGAUUCUUGUAGAAUACUGGUUUAUUAUCUGUUUCAUGUCUACUGGAUAAUGUCUAUCUUAAAGAAACCUUAAAGACCUUAGAUCGCUUGGCACGAUUAGCCAUAGAAUAGGUCCGUUGUAAUCGGUGAAUUAAUCAACUUAAUACAUUCAUAGCUGUGUUGUACUGAAUGUCUGCAGUUUUUUGCAUCUUUUGUCGACAAUAAGUAAUCUAUCUAUACCUUUUUGCAAAAUUUGUUGUUAAAAUGGCUAUGCAGUAAACUUAUCGGUAUUGUUAGUCAGCCGCAAAAAAGAAGGGUUUGUCUCUCGCGAGAUAGAAAACUGAAGAUGCCAGCCAUAUAUGUUAUUAUUCUAUCGUUCGUUUUCAUUACUUUGAGACAUUGUCACGGUCGCCAUAUAAGUUAACAUAAAUGGGCAGUGCAUCGAUGGGUUCUGUUAGAUUGAGGUUAUUCCGAAAACAAUUUAGUUUGAAAAAUAGUCUCUGUAACUUUUCGGAAAUUGAAGCUACUAUUUUUCUAUAGGUGCUAACGAACGGCUGUCACUAUGUUCUGCUUAGUAUCAACCUGAUUCCCAGAGUCCCUCAGCGAAAUUCUCACGAGACAUGAUAUUGAAACCUAGAGGAAACUCACAUUUCGGAGGAUGCUAGCGGCCUCUCGUCCACUACCCAGACACUCGCGCACUACGCUUGUGUUCGUGUAAAGGUUUUAUUACACUUAGUUAAAGGUUAUGGUUUCUCUUAGGGUGAACUUCAAAAACACAAUUUCUUCAAAGCUAGCUCGUUUCAGAAGAUUUCCGGCAACAGUGAUCGCGGAAACUCUUUAACCAACCAUUGCAUUUUUUCAAUAUUUUCUAUUUCCUAUUCGUGUUUAUCCUGGUCACGGCAUCAUUUGUUGCACUUGCAUGAGUUUCGUCGGUAUUUAUAGGAGAUCACUUACGGCACCUGCUUUGCUUAGGUGCUUUCAAACAGUUAAAAUUCUUGACCGACAUAUAAUAAUAUGAGUAGCGAUGCGAGGGGAUUUUUAAAAAAGAAGACUAAGGAAAAACGAAGACCGAUCGAGCCGGGAAUAAAAUUAUAUCCAAGUGUCUAGAUCCUACGCACGGUCCAACUUUAGCCUACGGCUGCUGAAGAUAAUUCAAUGGAGACUUGCCUUGCUGUAAACAAUCCAAAUCUGUAUUUUCUCAAUCGUUUCUAUUUCCUAUUCAAACGAGAUCUGUCACUAAAAUUUAACGCGCAACACCAGCCUACUGUGAUUUGUUUCAAAUCCUAUCUCAUUAGGGCCCUAAUAAAAAUUUCCUGUGACUUAGCCACUGAUACUUUGUCUAUAUUUAUUUCUAUUUACAAUUCGUAUACGAAUGGGCAAUGAAUUUGCUGCUCUCUUCAAAACUAGGUCGUUUUAGAAUAUUUGCGUGGAACAACGAACAAUAUAACGAACGGUGGUCAAUUUGCUGCUCGACUAAUGAUUAAAAUUACUCCUGGCAGGAUCACCAUGAAAAGAUAUUCUUCUCACUUACUUUUUAACUCGGACACUUGUGAUAUUUCAUAAGUAUACCACCCGGCGGUUCGCUUGAGGGUGAAUUUUAUUUUCAUUAAACCUAAGCUAUGGGCUAGGUCGCUUCAGUGGCUACGCGACACUUUUUGAUAUGGUCAGCAUAAUCGUUGUCGCGCAGUAGACUCGAUUAUGCUGACGCCUUGGUUAGUCGCUUCGCGACGGGAUGUUCGUGUGGAAUGCUUAUGUUUCCAAUAAACGUAGGUUGGUAUCCACCACAAGACAACUGAUCACCAGCAAUUUCGGAUAUGCUUUAGAAAUUCGUAUUUGUUCAAACUAACCAAUCGCUGUACUUUCGAAAAAAUUAUAUAGUUUAUCCUAGUUUGCGUGGAACUGCAUUCGAACCGUGAUAUUAUCACUACGGAAUAUUAUUUUUGACGAUACUCAUAAAGCGUAGGCCGCCGGUGGCCACUGGUUUUAUAAGACGGGAGCAGGGUGGAUUUUCCUUACAGACGUAAGCUAUUGCGUUUUCUUUCGCACAAAUAUCGCACAGGUUUUCGAAUACUUGAUAUGUCUUUACUUAUCCGACUGACCUAACGCGGCCGGGCGAGGGCUAUCACAAACAACUGACUUCUUACGACUCGCGCACGCCUGCUAUCCGUGCGGUCACUAACUGACUUUUGACGACUCACUUCAACGACUGACUUCUUCGCCAGCGCGCCUGUUGCGCGUGCGAACCCUAAUUAAUUUUUCACGACUGACUCAAAAGACUUAUCAUUUCGUCUGUGUAGACUUCUCUCUGAGGGAGUCUCAGACCUAAACAAAACAUUCUUUCCUCGCUCGCGAGAGUAAAGACCCCGGUGGAUGAAUCAGUAGUUCACUAUGACUCAUACUCGGAAGCCUUUACUUUCUAUAAUAGCGUCGCCGUCUGCUGCUGGCAGCAACAAACUGUGUUUAAUUAAACAAAGUGUUUAUUCUUUUCCGUAAGCGUAUGGCUUGGAAAGCGCGAGUGCAUCAAAAUAUCAGCUUAGCUUAAGGCUGUAGCUGGUGAUGUAACCCAGGAAAUUAGCUUCCAUGGUGCACCACUUGGAGAAAUUUUCCAGGGUUGAUGCUGGCCGAAAACUAUGGGCGCUGCAUGCCCCCUUACUUACUGAGCUUGAUGUUGCCUCGGAGAGACGCAUCAUCAAGACGAUUGCGCGGGUCAUUAGAAAAAUUUGUGUCAAAAAGUCUUUUGUGUCCUAACUCCUAAGAUUGCCAUUACAUAAAUAAUAUUUGUUAUUACUUUUGUCAAAACCAAAUAUUUACAAUUUUCUAUCAUUAUUUGACAUUUUCUUAACAUCCUAACUUUACGAUGGUCCUAGUGUGCACAUCUUCCUGCUUCCAAACGUUACAUCCGCUCUCGGCUCCUCGACUCGGUUGCGUAAUGGUUCUCGGAAUUCAGAUUUCGGGCCCCUCGUGCGGCAGGAUAUUUCCAAUUGGUUGAGAAGUGACAUCCUUCUUUGUCCGCAGAUUGUUGUCUUCUUGGGCCAUGGUUGCUUGCUCAUACAUAUUGUUUCGAUUCUGUCUUCUCCGUUCACGUUGUUAAUUUUUUGUUAUCGAUUCCUCGCUCCUCGAUUCUGGUUAGAAUUUAUUUGUUGUACCACCCCUCGAUCGAUUACAUUGAUAUCGACGUCCUUUACGUAUUUGUCUACAUUGGUUUCUCCCUCAACGUUUGGCUUAUCCGGGAGAUUUGUCUGCUUGCUUGCUACCUUCAGGCCAUAUUGAUUGUGGGCUACUGAGGCGCUAUUUUCAAUCACACAGACCGGGUUUGACUGUUCCGACUGUGGCUUUAAUCUUUGGUUUAGGCUGAUCCAGUUUUAGCCUUCAUGUUUCUCGAAAAGUCAUCAUAUGACCAAAGGUCGCACGAGUGCCAAAAAAGUUAACCUUCCACUGUAAUUUCUUUUUAAGUUCUAUUUCUAUUAUUUUUGAGAUACAAACAACCCCUUACUGCAAUUGCUCAAUAUUUUCUAUUUCUCAUUCAUAUGCGAAAUGUCACUGAAACAUCACCACCAGCCUGCUGUGAUUUUUUUUUCAAAUUCUAUUUAUUUUUUUUCCACGAAAGUAAACAGGACAAAGUUUUUGACACGUGAUAUUAUCACUACGGAAUAUUAUUUUUACGAUUAUUUUCACCGACAACAGGCUAAACGCUUAUCCGGUUCGAAGGGCCAGUGUUGGCGCAUGAGUUAGACUCUUAGGAUUGAGGUAAACUGUUCGGUUCGCGGUGCAGUAAAACUCACGCUCACUUAGUCUAAAUGUCGUUUAGUUGUGUGGUUGGCUUGCACAGCUCUCUUUCUAUAGUCCUCUAUAUGAUUUCUCUUCCUCAGCAAUAAAAUUCAUGUAAAAAUUUUGACAAUUGUCCAAUUCUAAACAUUUGAUACUUUUGUUUAUUUGAGAUACGAAAAUGGCUUAGUCCUGCGCGAAGCGCUCCACAGUCUUGUCAGUUCAUCUGAAAUAAAAAGAUUGAAAGAUUAAUAAAUCUAAAACAACCUACGAUAGCUAAACGAUAACUUCUUGAUUAACAAACUACUCCCGUUUUUUUGUGAAAAAAUGUUCAUGUAAAAAGUUUGAAACUUAUCGACAAACUGUCGAGUAGCACACGUAGAACAGGUGCUCCCUAAAUAAAGAUUAUCCGCGUAGUCGGGAAAAUUACUGCCACCUUCGGCAAAUUUCCACCUACCCUCUAUUCGGGUAAUGUUAGAGAAUAUGGACUGGACUGACCGAAAUCAAAUCGGGAACGAUUAAUAGUGUGCGCGCUUAUCUGACUUCUGCUGACAUCAUUCUGUCGUCUUCGUCAUCAGCUGGCUAAAUCGAACGACCUGUUGGCGUGUUUCUAACGUUAUUUGAACACGACCAUCCGGUAGCUCCCUCAUUUGGUGGUUCUCGGCCGAUCAGUCUUUUUCGUGACCUUCUUCUCGAAGCGAUUUUUCUGCCACGCAGUCCGAAUAUGAGUCUAAUUUGUUUUCGUCUAGCAUCAUCUUCAAGUAUUAUUGAUUUUUUGUUGGGAUCUCUACAGUACACUUCAUUCACUGCCAAUCUGUGAGCUAGUCAAUCAGAUGCAACCGAUGGUAAUUAUAUUUGACAGCGAGCACACCUUUAUUUAAGUUACUUUUUUCCACAGAGACUCUUCUUGAAUUGCACUUUUCUUCGGCUCAUUUCCUAUACUACACGAUUCUUCGUAGCAAGAGUAGUGAGGAAAAUGUGUUCCAAGUGUUCGUCGAUUCUUGUGUACGGCAUUGACAAAAUUUACCAUCCCCUACCAUUUCUCAAUAUUUUCUAUUUCCUAUUCGUAUGCUUUUUCUGUCAAAGCAACACGACGCCAGCCUACUGCCGUUUACUGCAAUUCGGAAACAAGCUUUCGACGCGUGAUAUUAUCACUACGGAAUAUUAUUUUUGUGACUAUUUUCUUCGAUGUCUGAGCAAACGUUUAUCCGGUUCGAAGGGCCAAUGUUGGCGGAUGAGUCUAACUUUGAGGUUUUUUUUUGAUGGUGCAAACGUUUUUGGGUCGUCUGACCUUUCGCAGUCGCGUGGCCAGUCUUUCUAGAUACGAGAAAGGUUUGGUUCUACGCGAAACGCUUUAGUCUUGUUGGUUUAUCUGAAAUAAGAAAGAAAAGUGAAUAAAACAAUAACUUCGUAGAGCUGAAUCUGAAAACAGUUUUAGAUAACAAAAUGGUGUAGCGUCUUGAUAAAUAAUCUAAUUCUUUUUCGUCUGUCUGUAAAAACAUGUUCAUGUAAAAAGUUUUGAAACUUAUCGAAAAAAUGUCGAGUAGCACACGUAGAACAGGUGCAGCAUCAAUAAAUAUCGGUCCGUCAGCAGGGAAAAUUACUGCCAUCUUCAGCAAAUUUCCACCUACUAUCUAUUGCGGUAAUGUUAGCGAAUACGGACUGUACUAACCCAAAUCGGAUCGGGAAUGGAUAUUAUCUCAAAUCAAUCUCAAUACAUUUUUUUCUCGGGUUAUUAAUUAUCUAUAUUUUUGUAAUUAAUUAUCUACCUUGAUUUAUUUUAGGCUUGCGCCUCGAUCCUCCUCGUUGCGCGUUCUGCCAUCCUCUCCGUGUGCACGUUGUUUAAUUUGUAAAUCACCUUGCCUAGGAUGAACACUGCUGCUGAAGCUGCUAGAAUAAUCAUCGCCCAUGUUUGGGUUUCGCUUCCCUCGAAGAUUAUAUUUGAUGACGCCGUGUCGUCGGCUGAGAACCAACCCAUUUUGUUCUCACAGGUGUUUAGUUUUGUAUUUUAACGCAGAAAACUUUACGCACUUGUGGUUCCAUUUGUUAGAAAGUUCAUUUUUGUACCUUUUGCUACUUUGCAAAUUGUUCUUAAUGUCACUUGCAGUCCCUUUUUUUUCUUGCCACUUUGGAAAUUAGUUACAAUGCUAGGCGGCUGGCACUGUUCGCCAUGUCGCACUUAAACUUUUUACUUAAGUUUUUCUAAGUCUCUUUGCUUGGGAUUUAGUCACAAUACGGGACGAUUCGCCAUGUCGCUUUUAAACUUUUCACUUGAAAAUAAAAUUUUUCUCUCUAAGUCCCUUAGCUGGGACUUAGUCACAACGCGAAUCGACUGGCACUGUUCGCCAUGUCGCGCUUUGAUUCAUAGGCGAUAAGCCCGUUUACUUUUCAUGAAGAUGAUCAUCAUUAGUAGUGACAGGUACCUUAUGUUCAAUUUAUAUUGCAACUUUUUGGGUUUGGGACGUGGAUUAGUCCGUGAAGGAUGCGUCCGAGGAUACCGCGACGUACUUGGUCGUCGCGGUUAUUCCUUGCGCCCGCAUUUUAUCCUUCGUUUCUGUCGUCUUUUUCCCGUGGUUUUUUACCCUUUUGUAGAUACCAUCUCUCUCGUAUUUAUUGUGGGUUCUGGGCCUGGCUCGUCCUGGAAGAUAGAUAAAACGUUUUUCGUGGUGGUUAGCUCUUCGUCUUUUUCCUGAUAAACAUCUAGUACAGCCACGUCUACAGAGGGUGUGCUUCGACUACGCCUCUCUUUAGCCAUCGACUGUAAUUGCUUUUCUUGUCUUCGAUGAUAACUAUGCCGUCCGCCUUUAGUGGUUUCGCCUCCAGAUUCCAUUUCGGUCGCUCGGCUAUCAAGGGUAAGUAUUCUUUUCUAAAUCUCCUCUAGAAAUACUGAAUUCCGUGGCUUGUGUCGUAUCCUGGAGCAGCAAUAAUCCUGAUCACCCGAUCAGGGCAUGGAGUGAUGUCGACGAGACCUUGUAGUUUUCUUCUGCCACUCAAAUCAUACUAAUUUUCUCAAUAUUUUCUAUUUCCUAUUCGUAUGCGAACUGCCAGUGAACAACGGCUUCAGCCUGCUGCGAUUUCUUUCAAAUUCUAUUUCAAUUCAUUCGACAAACGAUAGCCAAAACAGAGAAUGCCUUCGACACGUGAUAUUAUCACUACGGAAUAUUAUUUUUGUGAAUGUUUACAUCUGCUUCGCUCGCACACCUAUCCGGUUCGAAGGACCAAAUGUUGGCGCUUGACAUGAAAGAGAUGUUUUUCGAUUCAUUCGAUUUGGCAAUAUUUCAGAAUUUCCAAGUUGUUGAGUUAUUAGUUAUACUCACAUUGCUAAACUUGUCCGCUACUUUCUCGUUGGAGGAUGGAAGCGGUUGUUAAAAUUCGCUGACUAUCUAGAUGUCGUCGAUGUAUCUCCAGAUCGUCAGUCAUUUCUACUUUAGGUUGAUCGACCAACAUUUUUUUCUUCUGUUUAUUGACAGAGACCUGAAGCCAUCUGGAUACCAAAGCUAUUGCCGUUAUUUUGCAUUCCUUGUUCUUUUAUUGAAUUAAGUAUUGUAUUACUGCUGUAAGGUACAGAUACAAUCCCGGAUGGUUCUCUUGAUCCAGAUCAAGCACUGUUCAGCCACUGAAAUUUCUCUAUAUAUUUCUAUUUACAAUUCGUAUACGAAAGCGCGACGAAUUUGCUGCUCUCUUCAAAACUAGGUCGUUUUAGAAUAUUUGCGGGGAGUUAAUUCCAAGGUAACCAAACGCUGCAGUUUCGAAGAAAUUCUAUAGUUUAUCCUAGUUUGAGUUGAACUGCGUUCGAACCGUGAUAUUAUCACUACGGAAUAUUAUUUUUAACGAUACUCUACAUGUUUCUCGAAAAGUCGUCAUCAUAUGACCAAAGGUCGCAUGUGUACAGACGCGGCCGACGGUGGCCACUGCCUUAAUACGACUGACUACUUGCGGCUCACUUACUUGCCUUAAUACGACUUUUUACGACUAUAAAACCCUUUUAUUAGGCCAUUCAAAAAUUACAUCACACAUUUAAGAGUAAAACGAGAAAUUAGGAAGCAUGUUGUUACAUGUGUACAGACGCGGCCGACGGUGGCCACUGCCUUAAUACAACUGAGUUCCGCGACCGGCUUCCACGACGGACUACAAUGACUGACUACUUGCGGCUCACUUACUUCCCUUAAUACGACUGAGUUCCGCGACCGACUUCCACGACGGACUACAAUGACUGACCUCUUGCGGCUCACUUACUUGCCUUAAUACGACUGAGUUCCGCGACCGACUUCCACGACGGACUACAAUGACUGACCUCUUGCGGCUCACUUACUUGCCUUAAUACGACUUUUUACGACUGACUACUUGCGGCUCACUUACUUGCCUUAAUACGACUUUUUACGACUGACUACUUGCGGCUCACUUACUUGCCUUAAUACGACUUUUUACGACUGACUACUUGCGGCUCACUUACUUGCCUUAAUACGACUGAGUUCCGCGACCGACUUCCACGACGGACUACAAUGACUGACUACUUCUAAUCUGACGCAAAAGACUUUUAUCAUUUCGUCUGUGUAGACUUCUCUCUGAGAGAGUCUCAGACCUAAACAAAACAUUCUUUCCACGCUCGCGAGAGUAAAGACCCCGGUGGAUGAAUCAGUAGUUCACUAUGACUCAUACUCGGAAGCCUUUACUUUCUAUAAUAGCGUCGCCGUCUGCUGCUGGCAGCAACAAACUGUGUUUAAUUAAACAAAGUGUUUAUUCUUUUCCGUAAGCGUAUGGCUUGGAAAGCGCGAGUGCAUCAAAAUAUCAGCUUAGCUUAAGGCUGUAGCUGGUGAUGUAACCCAGGAAAUUAGCUUCCAUGGUGCACCACUUGGAGAAAUUUUCCAGGGUUGAUGCUGGCCGAAAACUAUGGGCGCUGCACAUGAGUGCCAAAAAAAAAUUUAACCUUCCACUGUAAUUUCUUUUUAAGUUCUAUUUCUAUUAUUUUUGAAAAACACACAACCGUUCACUACAAUUUUGUAAUACUCUUUUUCCUAUGUGAAAAAUUUGAAUUUUUUCGCCUGAAUCAGUUUGGCUGACUUUUUAUAGUGUUAGAGGUGUACAUUUUUCUUAUCUCUAGGGCCAGCUAAUACAACUACAUAUAAAAACGAAGGGUGUUGUAACAGAAAAAAUCAACUCCAACCACAACCAAACCAUGAUGACUCUGGAUGUUUUCACUUGAUCUGGAUCAAACUACUCACCGACCUGCUUCAACUCAGAUUUACGAAUUCAAGUUUUUACACUGUUUUCCAAGCACUUCUAAACAGAUACCGACCGGCUGCACCAGUUAUUUUAAACCACCAGGUCUAUUACAAAAAGUAUAUUGAAUCAUUAACUGUAGAAACUACAAAUGAAAUCACCAAUUAACACACUAUCUAAAACUGACUGAUCGAUUCGCGAUCGAUUCCUAUUUAACAACCUGACUGACAUGGCACAACUGGUCGACGUGGUGUGAAUCGAUUUUUAGUGAUGGUCGAAUCUAAAAAAUUCUCAAUGAUUUCUACUUCCUAUUAGUACGGGAACUGUCACGAUCACUAUUUUACCGCUGAAAACUGUUUGUUGUCGUUGGUGAACGUUUCAUCACUGAUUCAGUCUACUGGAAUCUGAACUUUCUCAAUGAUUUCUAUUUCCUAUUUGCAUGGUAACUGUCAUAAAUACUACCGCCUGCCAGCCUGCUACGAUCUGACUCAAAUUCUCUACGAAGUGAAAUUUUUGACACGUGAUAUUAUCACUACGGAAUAUUAUUUUUGCCCCGGGAAAAGAAUCCAGCAUAUAAACAGAUAUAAAACCAGGUGAAAUAUUUUUAUUUUUAUAAAAGAGUGUCACGCCCUCGGCUCCAAUUCUAAUAACUCGGCCGUUUCUUCGCCGAAUUGCGUCUUUCGCCGAACCGUGAUACACUAUGGUAAUAAUUUUAGUUUGACUUCUUAAAAAAAAACCCUUUGUAGACUUGCCUCCGUUUUCGGAAACUGCGUUACGGUCCGACACGAAGUGAUUUAUCUGUAUUACUUAAUGUUCACCUAUGUUCAAUUUUGUGUUUUGUCUAUCGCACACCUUUUCAUUUCAUUUGGUUCGCGACACUGUCACGGUCGCCAUGUAGGAUGUACACUAGAUUUGAAGAUGUUUUAUUAAGAGUUUUAUUACUUCAGCGUAUGCGACACCAACAAUUACACACAUGCUACCAGCCUAGUGCGAUUUCUUUCAAAUUCUAUUUCAAUUUAAUAUUUUAUUCUUCUGACUUAGAUUCCCUACUCGACAUAUUUGCUGAGUCUUCAAUUAACCCUAUCUGAUUCGUGUGGCCGCAGCAAGACGGUAGCGAUAUGCUUUGGCAGCAAUUAUGUGCACUUCAACGUCGAUGGCGAUGAUCGUUUAGUUAAGGGAUUUAUUCUGCUCGGCGGGUGUUUUGUUAUGGCUGAAAGAUUGGUUGUAACUUAUAUAUACAAGUAAUGAGACAUACCAUCUAAUCUUAAUUGUUAAAAAAUUGAAAAACGUCUUUUCACAACUGAAGUCUAACUUCAACUGAAUGCUUUAUUCCAAGUCAAUUAUGAUUGAACCUAAAGCCCCUAAUCCCUAUCGCUCUGCUAUGUAGGCUAUUUUGCAAGGCAACAACUGCUAAGGCUCGCUGAGUCCGUGUGUCGUUGCUUUGCUUGCUACCGAAUGGUCGUUUUGCUGAUGUAGGAACUAUGUACGAUUCUGGGCCACUGCCGAAAACUUAUGGGAUGCGCUAAUUAUGUUUCAUGAUAAAAUAGGGAAUGGUUUGCAAAAUCGUUGCUUUCCAGUUGUUGAGAAUCGCGUUGUCAAUCUGGUGCCAAGUUUCUGGUUGAGGAAUUAGUUUGUUUUUGAUCGUAAUUUGUUGCAUGGAUAAGUCGUCGUGAGUGUCUGCCUUCUGAAACACUGCUGAGUAACCUGACUCUGAUUUAAUUAUGGAUCUUUUCCGGGUUAGGUAACGCCACCAGUUCGUUAAUACUUCUUUUACAGAUUCAAAAUCUCGAGUCUCCAGCUAGAUAUAUGAUGGUUCUUCUGAUUUCCAAUGACGCGCAGCGGGCCCGAUCAAUCCCUUCCCAUCUGACUUAAUAAACUCAAAACGAAGGGACUAUCAUUACUCAGACAACCCUCGUAAUGUAUCAAAGCCAGAUCGCUACGUGUCAGUGCUAUAACAGGACUGGUUUUUUUUAUUUAACAGCAACCAUAACUAGCACACCGUUUCAACGCACACCGAGGAAAUCAAAGGAACAAUGUUUUUAAAAUUCAAUUGAAUUCUAAUUGAAUUAAAAGUCUAUCUGAAUAGGCAAAUGAUCAAAGAAUUCAAUGAGAUUUGGCCCAUUUUGUGCACAAAAAAGUAUAGCCCGAAUUUAAGACUUCCCCGUUGGUAUCCAAAUGGGGAAAACUGAUCGAAAUGGUAAUGAUGAGGGAAGCGAAUGCAAUUAUGUGAAAAAAAUUCCCCCCGAAGCGAGAUUCGAACCCGCAUCCCUCGAGACUCACCAUUUCUCACUUCAGCAAGUUCGACGAUGGCCAAUUCAUAAUGUAGUUUUAGACGUUAUGUAUUUUGCCAUCUCUUCAAAGCUAGGUCGUUUUAGAUUUUCCAUAAAAAAAAUUGAGGAAACUGAUUAACCAAUCACUGCGCUUUCUCAAUAUUUUCUAUUUCCUAUUCGUAUUAUCCUGGUCACGGCAUCAUUUGUUGCACUUGCGUGCGUUCGUCGGUCUUUACUGGAUAUCACUAACGGUACCUACUCUGGCUAGGUGUUUUCAAACAACCUAAAUUCUGGACCAACAUAACUUUUAACUGCUUACGAGGUUUUCCAAGGAAUCGGGCACCUCAAUUAGUGCAGUUCGUGAAGCAACUCUCGGUACACCAGAUCGGAUCUUUAUGAUUUCUGGGACAUUUUUCGGAUCCAUCAUAAGCUGCUGCUUACGAUCUGAUGAGCUAUUUUGGAUAUAGAAACAUUCCCUUCAAUUUGACGCAAGAUAGAUAAAAGUCAUACUAAUCACAGUAGGCCACCCUUAACGUUUUUACGUCGUCAAAAGUUUGACUAUUUCCAUUCUAGUUGCCAUCUUCAAAACGAGUUUACCGGCUACGACUGUUUUUCGUUCUGUACUGGUACUUGCUGGAGCUCGCUUUUUUGGACUCCCGAAUUCCGCAAAACGUUCGACACGUGAUAUUACCGCUACCGAUUUGAUGAGGUUAAUGCACAGCGCUGUAAAAUUGUCUCAACUUAGACGACCGACGACAACGGAAAAUAAAGUCAAUCUUUUCAGUCAACAUAGCAUAUGCGACUCAGAACUAAAUGAACAUAGCAGCUUACGUAUUAUUUACACUAUUUACAAAUUGUUACAUUUGCUGCUUUAGGUUGGGGCAAAAAUUUCUGACUCAAAUAUCUGGACGUGGGUUAAAAUUAGGCCUACCGUCAUUUCUGCUUUUCACGAAUCUAGUCGAGGUGACUGCACUUAUGGUCAAGGUUUUUAGGCGUUUCCUAGCCUUUCACUUUUGCGGCUUUAAGUUUCCGCUGUCACCAGAAUGUAGGAAUACUUCCUCGGAGUUACCUUUUUCAACACAGUUUUAUUACAAUCACCUCGAAUAGUAUGAAUAGUUUUAAUUCUCCACAGUUUACUUUAAAUGCCCACUUGUUACAAUAUUCUUCAAUUCCGAAUUAUGAGUACCGUGAUCACUAUAUUUGCUUUACGGUAAUGUGACCUGCGACUGGCUGACUUUCGCACGCGCGCGCCUGCUACGCGCGAACACUAACUAACUUAUUACGACUGACCUCUUCCAAUCUGACGCAAAAGACUUUUAUCAUUUCGUCUGUGUAGACUUCUCUCUGAGAGAGUCUCAGACCUAAACAAAACAUUCUUUCCACGCUCGCGAGGGUAAAGACCCCGGUGGAUGAAUCAGUAGUUCACUAUGACUCAUACUCGGAAGCCUUUACUUUCUACAAAAGCGUCACCGUCUGCUGCUGGCAGCAACAAACUGUGUUUAAUUAAACAAAGUGUUUAUUCUUUUCCGUAAACAUAUGGCUUGGAAAGCGCGAGUGCAUCAAAAUAUCAGCUUAGCUUAAGGCUGUAGCUGGUGAUGUAACCCAGGAAAUUAGCUUCCAUGGUGCACCACUUGGAGAAAUUUUCCAGGGUUGAUGCUGGCCGAAAACUAUGGGCGCUGCACAAAUAUUCUUUUAUUGUAAUUCUUUUACUUGAACAAAUUUAUAUAUUUUUUUCUUUACUAGCGCCACAGCCCUAACUUCCUGCGUUUUACGGGCGUAACAACGUCUUUAAUCUAACCACUACACUUAAUCUUCUAUAAACAAGAGCACGGUUUUGCUCCCUGGAACUGAAGGUCAGCUACUCGAACACUCACAGUAUUCAUUUGAAAGCUGUUUACAGUUAGCACUUUCGACUGGGAACUGUUUUCACGGAUUCUUAUCAAAUGCUUGCAAAACUUUCUCAACAAUUUCUAUUUCCUACUCGUAGAUAAAUCGUCCUAAACACUGUGUUUGUACCGUUUAAAACUUUUCGUUGAUGGUGUUUUGAACUGGAAACUUUUCAUCACUGAUUCUUGUAGAAAAAGCACUCUGGUGUUGACACCGAUAUUUCUCAAUGAUUUCUUUUUCCUAUUCGUAGGCGAACUGUCACUGCACCAACCUACUGCGAUUUGAUUCAAUUUCUAUAAAAUUUUCUGUAUCACUCUCGCAUCAAGCGAAUUUUUUGACACGUGAUAUUAUCACUGCGAAAUAUUAGUAGUCUCUAGUAUAGAUUCGCGGAGGCAAGCAGAUGUAGUAAAUAAGACACUAGAACGACUGGAUAGCAAUCAGCGCUAUCGGCUUCGACGUCGGGGCCGAGAAACUCUAAAGUUUGUCCUUAAUUAUGAGUUUGAAGUCAGAAUUGUUUAUUUUCUUUUGUUUUCUUUUUUGUUUUCACCAACUUUUUCACCUUCUUUUUUACAACAACCGACACUGAAGGUUUAGAGUUCUUCUCCAUGAAUGCCAAAACUAGUGGAAUAAAGAUAUAUACUAGCAGUCUUUAUAUUAUGGCAGGUUAGCUCAAAACUGUCGCCGCUUAAGCGUGUCUAUCUUAAGCUUCUGUCUCUUGAGUCAAUUUCUGUAUGUAUGAAUUUUUAUCCGUCCCAGUCCGCAAUGUUUCUAUGUAGCAUUUCACCAUUUUGAAGCGAGUCUUAAAAAUUCAUUACGGUUUAUUUUUCCCACGUCUAUUCUGUGGUAUCUUUGCAUUGGUAUUAGACAUGUAGUCUUAGAACCGUGAAAUUUAACGGGGUUGAAUUAGAAAAAAUACUUGGGAAAGUCCUUAUCCGGUUAGCACUUAUCUUUGUAACGGGUUGAAUUAUUCACUCUAUUUCAACGAAGCGACGUCUUCAAACUGUCAACAAACGGUUGCUUCGAGAUGCCAGUUUUGAGUAUGAGCCGAAAUGUCACUGUUAUUCAGUUCCACUCUCUUCUUGAAGUAAUUUGUUCAAAUGAUUUAGCUUAUCUCUUCAAAACUAGGUCGUUUUAGAAUAUUUGACAUAACUAAGCACAGCGCCUACUGCGGUCCACGCAGGAUUCUGAGUGUAGUAUAGCAAAACCUUAUCUUUUUUCGCCAUUAUUGUGGUCGUCGCAUCCUCUCGAUUUUUCGUUCUUCUAUCUCGUGGGGGUGUACCUUGUACUGUGAAAAUCUCGAACGUUGGUUUUUCAACUAACACAGGUGUCCUUUCCGAUACAUGUGCUACCAGCAUCCACCUUGUAACCUAUAUGGUAAACCAGUUUCUACAAUGAAAAAAGCAGUCAUGAUGAAAGUAUUCACAAUUCCCAAUAGGUUUUAGAAUCCGGAUCAGGGUAGUCGGUCUGUCAAAAAAGCUAAAAAUGUAUGUAGUUUGCAAGUAUGAGGGCGAGCCUACUCUGAUUCGGAUCCAAAAACGAAAUCAGUAUAAAUUAAAUGAAUCACGUAUCAAUCAAUGAUAUCUUUACAAAUACGAACGACUGUCUUGAAAAGAUCAGAAAUAAUGCUAGUAAUAAAUAUCUAUCACUGAUAUACUUUAUGACAAUAACUGACGAGAUCGUGUGAUGAUCAAGUCAAAUGAACUGAUAGCCGUUGCUAGAUUUUUUAAAUGCAUACAUGUAUAGUAAAAAAACGACAAUAAACUAAUCAAAUAAUGCAAUAGCUAAUUAGAAUUUAAAUCUUUCUUUUAGUAAAACAUAUUUUAAUAAAUAUGUGAGAAAAAAUUA